CCUGUUUAACAAAAACAUGUCUUUUUGAGUUAUUUUUAAAGUCUGACCUGCCCGAUGAAGUUUUAAAUGGCCGCAGUAUUUUAACUGUGCAAAGGUAGCAUAAUCAUUAGUCUUUUAAUUGGAGGCUGGUAUGAACGGUUGGACGAGGUAUAUACUGUUUCAUAUAAAUUUAUAAUAGAAUUUUAUUUUUUAGUUAAAAAGCUAAAAUAGUAUUAAAAGACGAGAAGACCCUAUAAAUCUUUAUAUUUAGUAUAACUUAAUUUUUUUAGGUUUUUUUUGUUUUUGUUAUAUUAAAUAUUUUGUUGGGGUGAUGUUAAAAUUUAAUGAACUUUUAAUUAUUUUUAAAUCAUUUAUUUAUGAGUUGUUGAUCCAUUACUAUUGAUUAUAAGAUUAAGUUACUUUAGGGAUAACAGCGUAAUUUUUUUGGAGAGUUCAUAUUGAUAAAAAAGUUUGCGACCUCGAUGUUGGAUUAAGAUAUAUUUUUAGGUGUAGUUGCUUAAAU
rnacentral:rRNA from 1 species